GCGCAAACCCCGCGUUGGAAAAUGGAAAAUGGCAGGUUGGAGCCUUUGAAAAUGGAGCCUCCCGAAUUGGUAAAGGAGGCCGAGGAGGCUGAAGAGCAGACCAAGUCUUUGACGACGGCUGAAGACCUGCUGGCAUUGGUGAAAAGGCUGCAGAAAGAGGGAAGCCUAGAGCCACAGAUUAAAGACCUGAUUAACCGGAUUAAUGAGCUUCAGCAAGCAAAGAAGAAAUCCAGUGAGGAACUGGGAGAAGCCCAAGCUCUCUGGGAGACCCUGCAUAGGGAACUGGACUCCUUGAAUGGAGAGAAAAUGCACCUUGAGGAGGUCUUGAGCAAGAAGCAAGAGGCACUGAGGAUCCUCCAGCUGCACUGCCAAAGGAGGGAACGUGGGGCUCAGAAGAAGGGCACGUUGCAGGAGUUCACAGAGCAAAUUUCAAUCCCUAACUCUCAGGUCACAGAGAACUGCACAAAGAAACAGCUGGGGUUACACGUUGAAGAACAGCUGGAGACUGUGAUGGGCCAGCACAAGGACCUCUGGGAAUUCCACGUGUUGAAGCAGCGACUGGCCUGGGAGAUACGCGCCCUGCAGAGCAGCAAGGAGCAGUUGCUCACUGAAGAGAAACUGGCGCGGGCCAAGCUAGAGGAGGUGGAGCUGCAGCUGAGUUCCCCACCCGAGGUCCGGGAUGCCCGGGCAGUGAACGAUGGGCUGAGGGCGGAGCUGGAGAAAUUCGGGGGCCAGGAUUCUGCCCAAAUUCAUUGCACGCCAAAGGACGGGGCCUCCAAAAGAGAGGCCGGCCCCGAGCGCCCCGGCGCCCUCAGCGAGGACCUGGAGCCGCCCCCAGAGCAAUAGGACCCUCCCGAAGCUCCUCACCCCUACCCGCUUCGAGGCGGGCCGAGAAAUAAAGGCGAGGAUAUCGGACCUUCCUCCACCUCCUGCCUGAGUCUGUAUUCCCGGGUCCGGGGGUGGAGGGCAGGGCCCUUGCUCGCAGCAGGCCGGGGGCGUGUCCAGGCACCCCGGGCGGGGCUUCUUCCGGGCUCCGCCCACCAGCCGCGUGCAGGACUCAGGAAGCUCCGUGAACGUUCCUGAGCAUCACGAAGGACACGUGGGUGGGUGUGUUAGGAUAGGGAGUGGACCACCCCUCAAUUAGACAGAGAACACUCUCGAUGAUGCAAGUCACACAGCGAGGUUUGUUUCCAGCUAGCGGGGGUCCGAGUAUCUGCCCGGCGCAGCGGGUUUCUGCAAGGACCCCCGCUAGCUGGAAACAAACCCCGCUGUGUGACUUGAAUUAUCGAGAGUGUUCUCUGUCUAAUUGAGGGUUGAGGGGUGGUCCACUCCGUAUCCUAACAUUUGGAGGUUUAAGACCCUCCUCAGAGAGACAGACAACUCCCCGAUACCGAGGUUUAACUAAAGGAACCGCGGAAGGAGGAUUGGCCACCUCCGUCUGGAGAACUUAAGGUUCUCGCCUGGAGGGACUGAAGGUCGCUAUCUGGAUCUGGUAGAGAAUUCUCAUCUGGGUGGGCGGAAGGGUUGCGACCCUGGAGGCUCCAUUUCUGAAGUCGCGGGAGAUGUCCCCAACGAAAGGGUGCCGGAACGACGUCCACAGUGGACGCCGUUUGGCCGGCCAGGUAAGGGUCCUGAGUGGUGUGUGAGUGCGCCGGCGCCUGUGGGUGUGGUGUGGCUGACCGGCCGGUGGGUGUUAGAAAACUCGUUUCGAAUGUGUGUGUUUGCUGGCUUUGUGUCUCUUGUCUUUUCCUGGCUUCUUUCUGUAAUAAUAAUGGGACAGGCUCAGGUAACGCCCAAGACCCUGCUCCUGAACCACUUCCCUGAGAUCCGCGCCAAGGCUCACAGUCAUGGCGUGGAAGUAGAAAAAGGUAAGUUUGAUACCCUCUGCUCUGCAGAAUGGCCUACUUUUAAGGUGGGCUGGCCAACCCAGGGGACCUUUUCUCUGGUCCUUAUUAAGAAAGUCCGAGAUGUGAUCAACUGGCCCGGACUACACAGCCGCCGGGACCAGUAUCCCUGUAUUUUAAUGUGGCAGGCUUUGGGGGAAAGUCCUCCCUCCUGGCUGAAGCCAUUUGUCCCCGAGAAGCCGGGGGACACCUCCCCCCGGUGCUGGCCACCUCUCGAGCCCCCCAGCAUCUGACUGCGCCCGAUCUUAUGGCCCACCCGAAACUCCCGGGGAGCCCAUCCAAGAAACCCUUUCUUACAGGAAGGGUCGGACCUGUACCCCUCCCUGAUAGACCUAGAUUUAGAAGAAACCGCCGCUCCAACCUGAGGCUGCCACCCCUCCCGAGCCCCUUCAUUUGUCUACCUCCCCGUCAGCACCCGCCCCCCGCUUCAACCCAGGGACCAGCAAAGGGAUUAAGGCCCCGCAGGCACAGGGAGGAGACCCCUGAAGAGGAACCGUCCUCCUCCACCUCAGCCGGGGCGCCCAUUCUCCCCAUAGGGGCCCUGGGAGGUACUGGCCCAAAUGGGGAGCGAUCUUACCAGUAUUGGCCUUUUUCAAGCAGCGAUCUGUAUAACUGGAAGGCUCAAAACCCCCCUUUUUCUGAAGACCCAAAGGGUCUAACUGACCUAAUUGAGUCUGUUAUGCACGCACAUAGCCCCACCUGGGAUGAUUGUCAGCAGCUCCUUAAGACCUUGUUUACUCCCGAAGAGUGCGAGCGAAUCCUCACUGAGGCCAGAAAGAAUGUCCCCGGCGACAACCUUGCCGAACCUGAUGGAGGAGCGCUUCCCCUUGGAUAGACCUGAUUGGGACUUUGGGAUCGCGGAAGGUUGACAGCAUUGGGCCUUGGGUCUACCACUCCCUCGUACACCGAGCCACCCAGCCGCAGCAGAGACAAGCCAGGGAGUGACGCAAAAGUAAACCGUCCAGUGUGGCACCAGAUACGAAUGUAGCUAUGGAAAAUUACUGUGUGUCAAGUGCUUUGAAAAUGCUAUAUAAACCCUUGGCUUUGAGUGUUCGGGGUCUUUAUAGAAACCUGCUGCAUCGCACAGAUACUCGGACCCCAGCUACCUGGAAAUAAACCUCGCUGUGUGACUUGCAUAAUCGAGAGUGUUCUCUGUCUAACUGAGGGGUGGUCGACUCCGUAUCCUAACAGGUGUCGGGUGUCCAAGCCCCCCCAUCUCCUCCGCAUUUCCUAACUGUUUUACCAACCAGGGCUGGAGGGAACGUGGUAAAAACCCGUGUAAAAUCCUGUCUCCUCUGGUUCGGAGUAAAAUCGCAGCCUCCCAAGAGCCCCUGCAUCCCCCACAGACUCCCACGGUCUACUCGGCCUUCCCCAUGUUCGGGUCCAGCCAGCUUCUUUUGCAGCCUCUCCCUGCACUUUUCCUCUCAGGGCCUUUGCUGUGUCCUCACGUGCAGCACCUUCCCCCUGGUUCUCUAACUGCGAGUCUGUUAAAAGGCUGUCAGCUCCCUCGGAGGCUCGCCUAUUGCCUCCGAGGCAAUAGGGACCCUAUUGCAAAAGCCACCUUGCGCCAGGACGCUGUCAUUUACUAAACAUGCCUUGGUAAACUGUCUGCGCUGGUGGUCUGCUGUGUGCCAGGCACUGGUGUGGGCCCUGAACUGAAAUAGCGUGGGCAGGGGACGUCUCACUGAGCAGGGAGGGGAGGGGGCAAGUGAGGAAGGGAGCCGUGGACAUCUGGGGAGAGGUGCCCCUGGCAGAGGGAAUGGCUUGUGCAAAGGCUCUGAGGAGGGACUGAGUUUUGUGUGUUUGAGGAGCAUCUGGAGGGAGCCAGUGUGUGGGGCACGGUGAGGUGGAGAGGAAGGGGAGGUAAUCCUGCAGAACUGCUGGGGACCCAGUCAAGUCGGACUGUGUCUGCCUGGUUUGUGUGGUGUUCUGAGAAGGGACCCUGGCCCCCAGCAAACAUUCAGUGCGUGCUAGUUAUCACUUAGAUCCCCGGGCCCACUGCCCACCCGCCUCAGGCCAGCCUCCAAGGAUCUU